UGGGGAAUCUUGCACAAUGGGGGAAACCCCGAUGCAGCGACGCCGCGUGAACGAUGAAGCCCUUCGGGGUGUAAAGUUCUUUCGACAGGAACGAUAAUGACGGUACCUGGAGAAGAAGCUGCGGCUAACUACGUGCCAGCAGCCGCGGUAAUACGUAGGCAGCGAGCGUUGUUCGGAGUUACUGGGCGUAAAGAGUGCGUAGGCGGCGAGCCAAGUUUGGUGUGAAAUCUCCCGGCUUAACCGGGAGGGUGCGCCGAAAACUGGUUGGCUGGAGUAUGGGAGAGGAAAGCGGAAUUCCUGGUGUAGCGGUGAAAUGCGUAGAUAUCAGGAGGAACACCUGCGGUGUAGACAGCUUUCUGGACCAAAACUGACGCUGAGGCACGAAAGCGUGGGUAGCAAACA
rnacentral:rRNA from 1 species